AACGAACGCUGGCGGCGCGCCUAAUACAUGCAAGUCGAGCGAGAAGACGUAGCAAUACGUUUGUAAAGCGGCGAACGGGUGAGGAAUACAUGGGCAACCUACCCUCGAGUGGGGAAUAACUAGCCGAAAGGUUAGCUAAUACCGCGUACGCUCCUUGGACUUCGGUUCAGGGAGGAAAGCGAUACCGUGGGUAUCGCGCUCUUGGAUGGGCUCAUGUCCUAUCAGCUUGUUGGGAGGUAACGGCUCACCAAGGCUUCGACGGGUAGCUGGUCUGAGAGGACGAUCAGCCACACUGGCACUGCGACACGGGCCAGACUCCUACGGGAGGCAGCAGUAAGGAAUAUUGCGCAAUGGGCGAGAGCCUGACGCAGCGACGCCGCGUGGGGGAUAGAA
rnacentral:rRNA from 1 species